ACUCCUGAGCGCAAGCAAUCCACUUGCCUUGGCCUCCCAAAGUGCUGGACUAGAAACAGGAGCCACUACACCCAGCUUCUUUUCUGAACUUCUAAAGCAAAUACUCAUUAUUCAAUUAUUUCAUUUUUGUCAGUUUUGCUUUUCAUAUAUAGAUUGUGAAGCUCCCUGAUGGUAAGAUUUUAUUCUUCAUUUCUUUAUCUCCAUGAGACCUAGCACAGUACUAGGUUGAAAAUAAAUGGAGAUUAAAUAACAGAUUAAUAAUACAGCAUCUCAUAAAAAUCAAUUAAUCAAACAAACACAAUAUUAAAAAAAAAAAAAACUAAAACCUCUCAAUAAUUGGCCUAGAAAAGUAAUAGAACAUCAAACAUGACCACAUUGAGCAAACUGACUUACUGUGAUCCACUAAUAGAAAUGUAUUUAUCACAAGGUAGGUGAGGUACAAAAAGUUAUAAUUUUCUAGGACAACUGGAUGGAGUCCCUAGGCUCAGCCACAGGUUAUCCUUUCAUGCUGCUGCAAGCCAUACACUUGACUUGUGGCUGUAGCAACACAGAGAAUCUGGAGCCAAAAGUACUGUUACAGUGCUUUCAGUCUUUAGGAAACUCUUUUUAAAAUGUUAAGCAUUGUUGAGAAAAUCUAAGAGAACACUGUGUGACUCUUCAGUGUACCACAUGGUGAUGUAAACUGCAUUGCUCUAAAGAGGGUCAAGGAAAAUUACAAUUAUUCCAAGACUUAAAUCUUGUGAAAAGUAGUUAGAAACCAAAAAAUUAUAGUGCUGAAUAUUUAUGUCUAGGAAGAGAUUUUACAUGAAGUACUAAAUGUAUUUUAACAAAUGUCACCCAACAUAUUUGAUUGUGUAAUUUUCUGAAAGAAUUACCUAGUACAGGCAUGUUUUAUAUAUAUCUUUGUUGAUCCAUGGACAGGACAAGCUACAGAUAAUUAAGGGUGAAAUUGUAUAUGUAUCAUCUACAAAAAAAAAAAAAAGAAAUAAAAACCCACAGUCUUCAAACUUACCAUUAAGACUCCUUUCAUCUCAUAGCUCACUAGCAAAUUGAAUUUAUAAAGCACCUCUCACACAAAAAGUCAGAGAGCAAAGCACUAAAGCAAAACAAAUACCAGUGAUUAAGGAAAAUUGAAAGCAGCAGUAAAAAUAUGUUUCUUUAGUCUACUUUUAAAUACAGACUGGGAACUGCAAAUAAUUGGGAGUAUAUAUAAGUGGUAAUUUUUUUGUCUUCAUGAUUGUAUGGUAUUGAAUACAAAUGAGAAAAAUCGUGGCUGCAAAACUCAGCAAUCCUUAUGAGAUUAUUUUAAACAUUCACUUAAUUAAUUUAGUAAUACAUUUAAAUUACUCAAAUAUUUUGUCAUUUCUUAGACUGGCCAGUUUUGAUGUGCUUCAUGUUUACUUUUGGUGAUUUGAAGAGAAAUUAUUCAAAAUGGUCUUUCCUAACCUGAGGCAGUAUCAAAGAAGGGAGGCAAAUUUUCUGUAAGUUUCAGGUCUUCAUAGCAUUAGUGGACCAUUUAAAUAUUCCAGAGAAAGUAUUUUAUUCUACAUUGAUCAAUAUUCAGAUAAUUUUCCAGGGGAUUUGUGACUCUUCAAUGGGAUAAAACUGAACUGUUUAGAGGAGUCAGUGAAAUAAAAUACUUGGGCACCGAUUUCAUGGUGGAUGGCUGUUGUCAAUCAUUGCUUCUUUUAGCAUAGCCAUUGGCCACUGAGGUACUUCAAAGAAUACUCUGGUAGCCAAAUAUUUGGAGAAAGAAGAGGAAAAACAGAAACUUUAGAGUUCCUUUUUAUCUGUGAAUACAUAUUUUUUUCCAGCAGAGCUAUUAAAGACAAUAAAAUAUUGAUUUGGGUAACUAGACAUUAGGAUUGAAGAAGUUGAGUUUUUAAUUUAAAAAUUUGGGGGACUGCUUUACUCUCUCUCCCAAGCUCUUCCUACUUCUCUUACUCUUUAACCUGUUUCAUUCCCUUUCCCUCCUUUCCCAUUCCCUCAUUCUUUUGCCAACAACCCCCACCCACUCCCCGUCUUUUUAUUUUUAUUUUUUUGAGAUAGGGUCUCACUCUGUCACCCAGGCUGGACUGGUGCAGGGUGUUCAUAGCUCACUGUAAUCUCAGCCUCCUGAGCUUAAGCCUCACUUUCUGAGUCUCAGUCUCUCAAGCACAUGCAACUACAGGCUUACCCCGCCAUGUCUGGCUAAUUUAAAAAAAUUUUUUUUUGGUAGAGAUGGGGUUACUCAGGCUUGUCUCAAACCCCUGGCCUUGAGUGAUCCUCCUUCCUAGGCCUCCCAGAGCCUAGGGAUUCAGGUGUGUGCCUGGCCAACACCCUAAUUUUAACAAUUGUCCUGACUCAUGUAUCUUUCAAGCUUAAAAGAGAACAUGCGCCCGGCGCAGUGGCUCACGCCUGUAAUCCCGGCACUGUGGAGGCCAAGGCAGGCGGAUUGCCUAAGCUCAGGGAUUCGAGAACAGCCUGGGCAACAUGGUGAAACCCCAUCUCUACUAAAAUACAAAAAACUAGCCGGGCGUGGUGGUAUGCGCCUGUAAUCCCAGCUACUUGGGAAGCUGAGGCAGGAGAAUUGCUUGAACCCGGGAGAUGGAGGUUGCAGUGAGCUCAGAUCACAAAGGAAAAGAAGGAAGUGCUUGUUGUUAUUAGGGUGAGAGGGUAGCAUUUGUUAAACUUGGCUAGAGCCAGUGCAAAUAGAAUUUGGGAAGGUCUGUGAUUUUUUCAAAGCUAUUUACAAGCUACUACUCCUCAGCAUGUAACUCAAAGGACAUUUUGAGUAUUAAGAUUAUUUCAUGAACUGCUUUGAUUUUGUUCGCUGAAAUGUACCUUAUAAAUUAUGAUUUUACGAUUGAAGAAUAUAGGUAGAUUUAUAUUUUUUCCUCUCUCUUUUCAGAAUUAUGUUGAAUUUCUCAAUCAGGUAGAUUUCUAAAUGUGAUGAUAAUUGCUAUAAAAUUGUCAAAAAGUUCCAAAGCAGUCUGAAACACAGUAGUGGGUUCAAUCAAUGAUUAGUUUCAUUUCUUUUCAAAGUCAUCACUAGACUUUCCUUAUGGCUCUGGAAUUGUUCUCAAACUUUGAUUGAUCUUCUGAAUCACCUGAAGUACUUGAUAUGGUAGGAAUAUUUGUGUCCCCUCAAAUUUCAUAUGUUGAAAUCGUAACUUGGUAUUAGGUGUUAUAUACCUCCUGUAACAGUGGUAUUAGGGAGCGGUGUAUUUGGGAGGUGGGGCUUUUGAUCAUAGAGGUGGCGACUUUCUGAAUGGGAUUAGUUCCCUUGUAAAAGAGACCUCCUAGAGCUCCUUUGCCGUUUCCACUAUGUGAAGACACAGUAAGAAGCCAGCAGUCUUCCAGCCAGGAAGGGAACACUCACCAGAACCCUGAUCUCAGAAUUCUGGCCUCCAGAGCUGUGAAAAAUAAAUUUCUAUUGUUUAUAAGCCAGCCAACCUAUGCUGAUUUGUUAUUGCAGCCUGAAUAGAGUAAGACAGUACUUGUUUAAAAUAUGCAUUUCCCACCUGUCCUCCCAGGAAAUUCUGAUCCAGGAGGUUCGAGGUGGGACCUGGGAAACAUUUUCAACAAGGCUCUCAAGUGAUAAUUAAAAUCAGCAACACUGCGUUAGAACAGUGGUUCUCAACUGUACUUGGGCAGCUUAAAAAAAAUCCUGGUCCCUGGGUCCUGCCUCUAACCAAUGUAGUCAGAAUCUUUGGUGGCAGGACCCAGGCAUUUGUACUUUUUAAAAAAGAAUCCUCAGGUAGCUUUAAUGUGCACCUAGGAUUAACAAUCAUUGUUCUCAGUGUUCUUGUGAAUAUUAAAAUAGAUUCUGGAAAAAUGCUGUGGGAUCAUAUAUUUUUACCUCUAGUGCUUCUCUAAGAUAAAAUAUAUUUAAUUUGAGGAAGUGUUAAAAUCAGAAUAUUUCAGUUUGAGACAGAUACCACGUAGAGUCAAUUUGAGUACCAGAUAGUCAACAUUUCUGGGGUGAAAUAAGUCAGUCUCCAGACUUUUUUCAAGAACUUUACCAAUAUUCUACUUGGGCUUUUAAUCAUGUAUAUAAUUCACCUUAGUAACCCCUUAGCAACAGACUGUGAUAUGCAGAUAGGAUGCAAAUUAUCAGGUGAAGAAAGUAGAGAAAUGCAGAAGCAAGAUUUGAGGUUAAUUGUGGUAGAAUUUAAAAUUGUGGCCAGGAACAGACUUCAUUAUUCUCCUUCUUUUUGCUUCCAGAAAAGAAUCUGCACAGGUGUAUUUACCUAGGUGAUCUCCAGUCUGGCUAUUCUUAAUUGUCCAUCUCAGCUUUUGGAAUAUGUGGAAAGCCAGGUUCUGAUCUGGAUAAUGUCACAAGGAUGUUGGCAGAUUCUUAUGUCUCUUGAUUUCAGGGAGUUUAGCUUUAUUUUUGCAGUGAGGUGCAUUAGUUGAGGAAGAUCCAGUACCAGAUGGUAAUGUUGGCUAGGAGUGGUUUUCUCACCUACAUUUGGCAGCUUUACUCGGAAGUGGUGUUUUCAGUGCCUGAGACUUCCAGUCUAUGCUACUUAACAUGCUCACUGGGAAGCUUUAGGUGGUACAGAAGCAAUGACACAUCUCAUUAAAGGUCCUGUAACUAUGAACAUCUGACAUCUGUGCUGCAAAUAGAACUGAAUGCAGCCUUCAAGUAGUUACAGAUUCAAGGGGUAUGUUGUUUUCUAAAGGCACGGCUGAAAUUCAUUAUAUUUACCAGGCUAAUAUCUAGAGGCACUGACUGGAAGACAUAGAUUAUGCAUUAAUAAACUGCUCCUUUCCAAGAUGACCUCCUCCUAAAUGGGUCCCCUCUUUCCUAGCAUUUAGACAAUGGUUUCAGCUGAUGGCUUAUCCAUGAUUUAGCAAUAAUCAUAACAAUAGUGAUCAUAAUUUGAAUACCUAUAAUAUGCUAGGAUACUUUAUGUAUAAGUGAUACAAUAGCUUUCCAAGAUAUUCCCACUUGGUGGAUGAGGAGCCUGGGGCUCUGAGGAAUUAAGGAACUUGCCAAAGACCACAAAACUCCUAAGUGAUAGAGCCAGGAUUCUGCCAGCUGUCUGGUUGCCCAGUGGAGUCUCUGUCCAUCUUGUCACCAGCCCCUGCACUGUGUACAGGAAUGGAAUCAGCAUUCGUUGCUAUAAACUACAGUAAGGUAAGUGAACAUUCAUAAAAGUUGGCCUGUAGUUUAGUAUUUAAACUGGAAAAAUAAAAAAAGGUAAAACAACCAGAUUCAGCCUUCAAGGAGCUUAUCAUCCAGUUCUUUUAUCACAUUAAAGAAUAACACCCUGAUUCUUUAUACACAUUUCUGGAUGCUUUAACUUUAAAUUUUUAAAAUACUGGGCUAUUUAGUGAAAUUGGAAAAUAAUUUUUACAAAUCUAAAUGUGCUCGUCCUCAAUUUGGCCUGGUUCCUUACAGCUGCGGAAAUUCAUUUUCUCCCCAUUCCCCAGCCCCCUUCCGGAAGCCCUAAAGCGUGGACCCAGUGGGAGUCCCCUCUGUUUCCCAAAGGAAAUAUUUCAUUCAUAUAAUGUCUCCUUUGUAAUCAACACUGAGAAAUGUCACUUUGAUUAAACACAACUCUGAAUGACUAAGACCACAGUACAAUAAAUUCUCCAGAGCUAUCUUUCAGAACAACUGAUUGCUCUCCAGUCUUAAUCCUCCAGAGUCUUAUUUAAUCAAAAUGAUGUUGCUAAUUAAGGAUUAAAACCUCCGAAUAGAAUAAAAAAGAAGGAUUUUUCUUUCUCCUUUGGGCAGGUCAAGGAGGCAGAAUUUGCUGCAAGGAAGUAAAGAGGCCCUUCUACCUUUGGACAAGGCACUUCAAUUCUUUUUACCUGGAGGAUAAAUGUAUCCGUGUGUGUUGGGAAGGUGCUGGUAAGCUGUACUGGUCUGCAUGAGAUUUAGAAGCUCCUGUGAUUACUGACUGAAUCAUCAUCACAGAUUCAUUCCAUCGUCACUUAGCCCAAUUCAUCACAAAGACUGAACAACUACUACCCAAAUGGAAUCAGAAAGUAAACAGUGAGGACGGUCAUAAGCCUCUUUUGUCUCCUAGCCAGUGCUACUUACCAGUUAAAAAAAGACAUUGUUUUUUGUGAUCCAUACUCCUGAAGGCCAAAAGCACCCAGUGGACAGACGAUGGCUCUUAUGCCUCCAAUGCCAAGGCAAAUGGUCAACAGUGCUACGUAAAACAGCCUGUGCUGCUCUGUUUUUGCUGGAUGGAGCCUUCUUUGCCACAUACAGGGGUGAGAAGGCUGGGGACAGAGGAGUGUGAGCUGGAAGGAGAGGGGACAUAAAGUGACAAAAUAAGAGGCUUUCACAAUGUAAAGAAUAUAUGCACUGAAGAGCUAUUUGGCAACAGAUUCAUUUACCGUGAGCCUUUUCAUCAUGUGAAAGAGAAUUGCAUCAUAAACCUGCUGUGUGCAAUUAAUAUGUGAUACUGUACUUGCCUUUUUCUGGAUACCUUUUUAUGUUUCAUGAUUAACUUUGGCUAACAGCAGAAAUGGGAGAGAAGUGUCCAGAGAGGGAUGCUACUAAAAAGGCUUUAUGUGACAAACCAUAUUGUCAGACAUUAACAGAAAAUACACCACUGCAGAAUGAUGGCAACACGCAGAGACAAAGCACCAAUGGCCAUCACAGGUAUUGACAAGCCAGAGAAGACUGGAAAAACUGGACCAAGAAAUUAGUUCUGUUGGAAGGCAAUUUGAAGGAACUGGAAACUCAACAAAUGAGAAAGAAGAAGUCAGAAUCACAGAAAGUGAUAUAAUCAAAUAAUAGUAAUGAUAAAUGCAAGAGAAUACUUUCCAUGUGCCAGUGUGUCCAGAAUUGGCUCCUUCCGGUGGGUUCUUGGUCUCGCUGACUUCAAGAAUGAAGCCGCGGACUCUGGCGGUUUGUUUCUGCAAAUUUGGUGUUUAAAGCCAGCAAUACAUCACCUAUACUAAAGGAAUUGAUUAAAUCAACUUAAAGAGCUACAGUUUUGGAACUAGAGUGGCAGGAUGCCCUCCCUGGACCUUUGGUAAGCUCCAUGAAUCAGUGUAAUAGUAUAUCCUGGAAAAGUCAAUAUUAACCCAACAAAUAAAUAAUUUAGCCUCCAUGUUGCCUGAAACAUUUGCCAGGGAAUUCUGGGAAGAUUGCUGCUUGACUGCUUGAGCGAAAAGGAUAACCUCGUUCUUAAUCCUUGGUACACAAUUGCAUUUAAGACUACCCCCUUCUGGGAAAAACAAGGAAACAAUAAAAUCGAUUGUUUCCCUGAACGAGACAAAAACACAGAAAUAAAUUAGAAUUUCACAGACUACUUUAUGACAUAUUUACCUACAUUUACCUUCAACAUUUCAAUCUAAUAUUAAG